rnacentral:rRNA from 1 species
GUGCCAGCCGCCGCGGUAAUACGGAGGGUGCAAGCGUUAUCCGGAUUCACUGGGUUUAAAGGGUGCGUAGGCGGGCAGUUAAGUCAGUGGUGAAAUCCUAGAGCUUAACUCUAGAACUGCCAUUGAUACUAUCUGUCUUGAAUAUUGUGGAGGUAAGCGGAAUAUGUCAUGUAGCGGUGAAAUGCUUAGAUAUGACAUAGAACACCUAUUGCGAAGGCAGCUUACUACGCAUAUAUUGACGCUGAGGCACGAAAGCGUGGGGGUCAAACAGGAUUAGAUACCCUGGUAGUCCAUGCCCUAAACGAUGUCAACUGGUUGUUGGGAAUUAACUUUCUCAGUAACGAAGCUAACGCGUGAAGUUGACCGCCUGGGGAGUACGGCCGCAAGGUUGAAACUCAAAUGAAUUGACGG